rnacentral:rRNA from 1 species
CGGUACCGGCGGCACAGUUGGUAGAUCACUCGGGGGCUACGCAUAUUCCGGGAGGGGCUACGCACUCUGUUGGGAUCAGGGGUUUAUGGGGAGAGGGAGCAUUCAUAAACUGCUGGACCUUCUCCGGCUGGAGCGCCAGCAGCAGUAGCAGCAGCUAGGGCACCGGUGGCCGGAGGGAAGCAGCGCGGUUCUGCAGGUCCUCGAGGCGGUAGCAGCAGAGGCAGCGGUAGCUGAUAGCCAACCUCGAGCCUGCCGGACGACGGAGCGGUAGCGCGCCAGAAGAGGACAGCCGGCGGGGGUGGUAGCGGCAGCUAGAGGUGGUGGCCGCGGAGGGCCGGAGCGGUUCGAGCAGGUGCCGGAGGGGCCCUGGGGCUCUAACUACGACGGUAACACUAGUCGAUGCAGCUGCUGCUGGGGAGGAACGGUCUCGUUGGUCUACAGCCUCGGGUCCUCGGUCUACGGUGGCGGCUACGUAUGAUGAUGCACCUCUGGCGGCCGCUAGUCCUCAUCAAUCCUCCGAGGGUCCGUCCUCCGGAACGAAAAAGCUAGUAACGACGAAAACACGAUCGGAAGAAUUCUGUUUGAACAGAUUGAAUACAGACAUGAGUCUAUAACACCGAAGGCGACUGAGAACACAUAAGCUCAAAUACAUAAGCUCGGGAGUUCCGGGG